ACGGAAGGCAGCAGUGGGGGAUAUUGCACAAUGGGGGAAACCCUGAUGCAGCGACGCCGCGUGAGUGAAGAAGUAUUUCGGUAUGUAAAGCUCUAUCAGCAGGGAAGAAAAUGACGGUACCUGACUAAGAAGCUCCGGCUAAAUACGUGCCAGCAGCCGCGGUAAUACGUAUGGAGCAAGCGUUAUCCGGAUUACUGGGUGUAAAGGGCGUGUAGGCGGGACAGCAAGUCAGAUGUGAAAGCACGAGGCUCAACCUCGUGUCUGCAUUUGAAACUGCUGUUCUUGAGUGCUGGAGAGGCUAACGGAACUCCUAGUGUAGCGGUGAAAUGCGUAGAUAUUAGGAAGAACACCAGUGGCGAAGGCGGUUAGCUGGACAGUAACUGACGCUGAGGCGCGAAAGCGUGGGUAGCAAACAGGAUUAGAUACCCUGGUA
rnacentral:rRNA from 1 species